AUGUGGGAGGAAUGCUUGCCUCAUAUUGAAUUUGCUUAUAAUCGUUCAUUGCAUUCUACUACUAAGAUGUGCCCUUUUGAAGUUGUGUAUGGUUUCCUACCUCGUGCACCUAUUGAUUUGUUGCCUCUUCCAUCUUCGGAGAAGGUUAAUUUUGAUGCUAAACAACGUGCUGAAUUGAUUUUAAAAAUGCAUGAGUUAACUAAGGAAAACAUUGAGCGCAUGAAUGCUAAAUAUAAACUUGCUGGAGAUAAGGGUAGAAAACAUGUUGUGUUUGCACCUGGAGAUCUUGUUUGGUUACAUUUGCGUAAGGAUAGAUUUCCUGAUUUGCGCAAAUCAAAGUUAAUGCCACGUGCUGAUGGUCCCUUUAAGGUGUUAGAGAAAAUAAAUGAUAAUGCAUAUAAACUUGAGCUGCCUGCAGAUUUGGGGUUAGUCCCACUUUUAACAUUGCAGAUUUGA
rnacentral:rRNA from 1 species